rnacentral:rRNA from 1 species
UACGGGGGGGGCAAGCGUUGUCCGGAAUUAUUGGGCGUAAAGAGCGUGUAGGCGGCCAGAUAAGUCCGCUGUGAAAUCUCGAGGCUCAACUUCGAGCUGUCGGUGGAAACUAUCUGGCUAGAGUCCGGAAGAGGAGAAUGGAAUUCCUGGUGUAGCGGUGAAAUGCGCAGAUAUCAGGAAGAACACCCGUGGCGAAGGCGGUUCUCUGGGACGGUACUGACGCUGAGACGCGAAAGCGUGGGGAGCGAACAGG